rnacentral:tRNA from 1 species
GGGGUUAAAAGCUCAGUGGUAGAACGCAUGCUUAGCAUGCACGAUGUCCUGGGUUCAAUCCCCAGUCCCUCCA